rnacentral:pre_miRNA from 1 species
AUAAUACUCCCUCCGUCCGGAAUUACUUGUCAUCAAAAUGGAUGUGUCUAGACCUAAAAUACAUCUAGAUACAUCCAUUUCAAUGACAAGUAUUUUCGGACGGAGGGAGUAGUAU